rnacentral:snRNA from 1 species
AGCCAGUGGCGCGAAGCUAC